rnacentral:rRNA from 1 species
GUGGCGAACGGGUGAGUAAUACAUAAGUAACCUGCCCUAGACAGGGGGAUAACUAUUGGAAACGAUAGCUAAGACCGCAUAGGUACGGACACUGCAUGGUGACCGUAUUAAAAGUGCCUCAAAGCACUGGUAGAGGAUGGACUUAUGGCGCAUUAGCUAGUUGGCGGGGUAACGGCCCACCAAGGCGACGAUGCGUAGCCGACCUGAGAGGGUGACCGGCCACACUGGGACUGAGACACGGCCCAGACUCC